rnacentral:misc_RNA from 1 species
AAGUCGUAACAAGGUUUCCGUAGGUGAACCUGCGGAAGGAUCAUUAACACGUAUCCAACGUUAAACCCCCCGUGAACCUUCAGAGCGUUCUUGCCGCCCGUGACAAUCAGCAAUCCUGGUAAAUCAAGUGGGAAUAUCCGUUAUUGAUUCAGGACCUCUGCUGUCAUGUGUUAGGGAAACCAUAGCGGCAAUUGAGAGCUUUUAUCGUUAGUUUGGCGUCCUGGCCGGGCGAUUGAAAGUGUCGCUAGUUUCUAGGGUAAGGCUUCGCCAUCGCUGGAGGCUCACCACGUAGCCGGCGGACAAACUACAGGGCUAUAUGCCCCCUAAUGACGACCAAGUUAAAUAGGGCCUCUGUCACAUAGCAAGUGCGCCGUGCCAGAGGAAAAGUACAACUGUUAACAAUGGAUAUCUUGGUUCUC